rnacentral:tRNA from 1 species
ACCAGACUAGCUCAGUCGGUAGAGCUUGAGACUCUUAAUCCCAGAGUCAUGGGUUCGAGCCCCACAUUGGGCA